rnacentral:rRNA from 1 species
AGCACGCCGCGUGAGUGAUGAGGUUUUCGGAUCGUAAGCUCUGUUGUUAGGGAAGAACAAGUGCCGUUCAAAUAGGGCGGCACCUUGACGGUACCUAACCAGAAAGCCACGGCUAACUACGUGCCAGCAGCCGCGGUAAUACGUAGGUGGCAAGCGUUGUCCGGAAUUAUUGGGCGUAAAGGGCUCGCAGGCGGUUUCUUAAGUCUGAUGUGAAAGCCCCCGGCUCAACCGGGGAGGGUCAUUGGAAACUGGGGAACUUGAGUGCAGAAGAGGAGAGUGGAAUUCCACGUGUAGCGGUGAAAUGCGUAGAGAUGUGGAGGAACACCAGUGGCGAAGGCGACUCUCUGGUCUGUAAACUGACGCUGAGGAGCGAAAGCGUGGGGAGCGAACAGGAUUAGAUACCCUGGUAGUCCACGCCGUAAACGAUGAGUGCUAAGUGUUAGGGGGUUUCCGCCCCUUAGUGCUGCAGCUAACGCAUUAAGCACUCCGCCUGGGGAGUACGGUCGCAAGACUGAAACUCAAAGGAAUUGACGGGGGCCCGCACAAGCGGUGGAGCAUGUGGUUUAAUUCGAAGCAACGCGAAGAACCUUACCAGGUCUUGACAUCCUCUGACAAUCCUAGAGAUAGGACGUCCCCUUCGGGGGCAGAGUGACAGGUGGUGCAUGGUUGUCGUCAGCUCGUGUCGUGAGAUGUUGGGUUAAGUCCCGCAACGAGCGCAACCCUUGAUCUUAGUUGCCAGCAUUCAGUUGGGCACUCUAAGGUGACUGCCGGUGACAAACCGGAGGAAGGUGGGGAUGACGUCAAAUCAUCAUGCCCCUUAUGACCUGGGCUACACACGUGCUACAAUGGACAGAACAAAGGGCAGCGAAACCGCGAGGUUAAGCCAAUCCCACAAAUCUGUUCUCAGUUCGGAUCGCAGUCUGCAACUCGACUGCGUGAAGCUGGAAUCGCUAGUAAUCGCGGAUCAGCAUGCCGCGGUGAAUACGUUCCCGGGCCUUGUACACACCGCCCGUCACACCACGAGAGUUUGUAACACCCGAAGUCGGUGAGGUAACCUUUAUGGAGCCAGCCGCCGAAAGGUGGGACAGAUGAUUGGGGGUGAAGUCGUA